rnacentral:rRNA from 1 species
UACGUAGGGGGCAAGCGUUGUCCGGAAUCAUUGGGCGUAAAGCGCGUGUAGGCGGCUCGGUAAGUCUGCUGUGAAAGUCCAGGGCUCAACCCUGGGAUGCCGGUGGAUACUGUCGAGCUCGAGUCCGGAAGAGGCGAGUGGAAUCCUGGUGUAGCGGUGAAAUGCGCAGAUAUCAGGAGGAACACCUAUGGCGAAGGCAGCUCGCUGGGACGUGACUGACGCUGAGACGCGAAAGCGUGGGGAGCAAACAGGG